CUCAUAUAUAGGACUAUUUGGGGUCUCACAAUCUCCCCUCCUUUAAGCCCUGACGUCCUCGUCAGGCUCAGACUCACAAGUACCAGGCGAUGUGAGAGACUCAUCUCGCUAGCCCGUCAUCUAGACCCUGGCUCAGCCGAGACUCAUCUCACACUUCCGGCUGGUAAUUGGCUCUGAUACCAUCUGUGACGCCCCAACUUCCCAGGGGGUCACCCAUCCUAAGACUACUCCCGUCCUAGCACGCUUAACUCUCUUAACCUCUUGGGCCUUGCCACCACCCAAAAUGCUUAAGCCGUGUUAAGAGUUUAGUCCUAUUAUAUCUCAUAUAUAGGACUAUUUGGGGUCUCACACUAGAGGUAAGCUCUAAACCCUAACAUGGUAGAACCUAGGGUUUUGGGUUUUGAGCUUUGGAAAUGAGGUCAAAUGGACCUCUAGCACCAUUAAUGGUGGAUUAGAUCUAGAGGCUAGGGUUUCAUGGUGCUUUUGCCUAAUGCUAACCCUAGGCACCCAAAUUGGGGUUUUCCUAGAUUGAGGAGUUUGAUCUCAUUUGAUAGCAUCUAAACCUAAUUGGUGGGUGUUUAAGUGCGUUGGCGAAGUCGGAAUUACGAUUCGUCGAACGGAUAAAGAGAUAAGG
rnacentral:lncRNA from 1 species